CACUUACAGUGUUUGCAUUCGGCACGAGUUAUAUAAUUCCGCCUCAUUCUUCUUUUUAUAUGUCCUCUUUUCAGGAUAUAGGCAACUUAAUGAAAGUAAAGCCAGAAAAAGGUUUCUCUAUUAUUGUUGUUGACCCUCCUUGGGACAAUAAAAGCGUAAAAAGAGGGAAAAAAUAUAACUCUUUACCUCCGCGCAAGUUACUAAAAACACCAGUAAGAUCGUUGCUCAGCGAAGACGGCUUUGUGGCGGUCUGGUGUACUAAUAAAGUAAAGUUCCAAAAGUUUAUAAAACAGGAACUCUUUCCCCAUUGGAGAAUUAAUUAUGUGGGCGUUUGGUAUUGGCUGAAGUUUAAAGAAUGUGGCCAUUUGGUGACUUCGCUCGAUUCUCUCCAUCGGAAGCCAUAUGAGCCUGUUUUUAUUGGUUCUCGGAAACCAUUUAAACUUCCCUAUGAAGUAGUAUUUGGGAGCAUACCAAGUCGCAUUCACUCUCAGAAGCCUUCCCUUGAGGAGUUAUUAGAGCUUCACUUAUCACCAAAAAACUGCCUCACUUCUAUUACUCCUGUAAGUAAGCUAGAAUUGUUUUCUAGAAAUUUGCUGCCGGGUUGGGCAAGUUGGGGAAACGAAGUUAUUAAAUUUAACGAAUUUAAUAAAGAUUUGUAUAUAACUUAA